CAAAUUAAGGCCAACCCAUGUGGGUUAGUGAGUGAUUAAAGUAUUAAACACCUUCUUGAAUCUUGUUAUCAAUUAUUAACAGAUUUGCAGGGCCAAGUUCAACACAUCUUGCAUGUCAUUUUCCCAACCUUAAUUUAAACUAAGUUACUAAGAGAAAGCAUUUAAUUUAAAGAUGGGGAACUUCAUCAAGAUUCCCAAAGCUAAUCCAAG
rnacentral:misc_RNA from 1 species